ACUCCUACGGGAGGCAGCAGUGAGGAAUAUUGGACAAUGGGCGCAAGCCUGAUCCAGCCAUGCCGCGUGCAGGAUGACGGUCCUAUGGAUUGUAAACUGCUUUUGCACAGGAAGAAACAACGCUACGUGUAGCGUCUUGACGGUAC
rnacentral:rRNA from 1 species